rnacentral:rRNA from 1 species
UUGACCUCGGAUCAGGUAGGGAUACCCGCUGAACUUAAGCAUAUCAAUAAGCGGAGGAAAAGAGACCAACAGGGAUUGUCUCAGUAACGGCGAGUGAAGCGGCAACAGCUCAAAUUUGAAAUCUGGCUCUUUCAGGGUCCGAGUUGUAAUUUGUAGAAGAUACUUUGAGUGUAGCUCCGGUCUAAGUUCCUUGGAACAGGACGUCAUAGAGGGUGAGAAUCCCGUAUGUGACUGGGUGCUUUCGCUCGUGUAAAGCUCUUUCGACGAGUCGAGUUGUUUGGGAAUGCAGCUCAAAAUGGAUGGUAAAUUUCAUCUAAAGCUAAAUAUUGGCCAGAGACCGAUAGCGCA